rnacentral:rRNA from 1 species
CCUACGGGAGGCAGCAGUGGGGAAUAUUGGGCAAUGGGCGCAAGCCUGACCCAGCAACGCCGCGUGUAGGAAGAAGGCUUUCGGGUUGUCAACUUCUUUUCUCAGGGACGAAGAAAGUGACGGUACCUGAAGAAUAAGCCACGGCUAACUACGUGCCAGCAGCCGCGGUAAUACGUAGGUGGCAAGCGUUAUCCGGAUUUCCUGGGUGUAAAGGGCGUGUAGGCGGGACUGCAAGUCAGAUGUGAAAACCACGGGCUCAACCUGUGGCCUGCAUUUGAAACUGUAGUUCUUGAGUACUGGAGAGGCAGACGGAAUUCCUAGUGUAGCGGUGAAAUGCGUAGAUAUUAGGAGGAACACCAGUGGCGAAGGCGGUCUGCUGGACAGCAACUGACGCUGAGGCGCGAAAGCGUGGGGAGCAAACAGGAUUAGAUACCCUUGUAGUC